ACUUAAGUAGUUUAAAAAAAAAUUUUGAUUUGUGGUGUCAAUGAUAUGGAAUAUUUCAUCUUAGGUC
rnacentral:tRNA from 1 species